CUCUGCAAACAUAUUAAGUUAUAAAUAUAUCUCUACAAAGUUCAACUUUUAUAUAUUAUUUCUAUAAAAUUUCUAAUAUUUUCAAAUAUGUCCCUGCCGUUAGAAUUCGUAAGAAAAAUUUAGUUAACCAUAGAUUAACUACUUAAUUCUAAUUAGUUUUUGAUAUUUUUGCCCUCUUAUAUUAUACUGUUGUGGCUUUUAGAGGGAUUUAUCUGUGAUGGCAAAAUUUAAAAUAUAAAUAGUUUUCUAACGGUUCUCUAAUGAUAACAAAUUAAAUAAGUAUAUUUGAAAAUAUUAAAACUUUUGUAUGGACAACAUAUAAAAAUUAAAUUUUACAGAAAUAUAUUUGUAAUUCACUAUAUUUGCAGGAACUUGUAUGCAUUUAACCCCAAUUU
rnacentral:lncRNA from 1 species